rnacentral:rRNA from 1 species
UAUGGUGAUCAUACCACUUUGAAAAUACUGGUUCUCGUUCGAUCACUGCUGGUAAGCAAAAUUGGACCCGAUUAAUAAUUGCAUGAGUGACUGGCUGGGAAUACUAGGUCUUGCCAGUG